rnacentral:rRNA from 1 species
UGCAGUCGAACGGUAACAUUGAUUGCUUGCAAUCAGAUGACGAGUGGCGCACGGGUGCGGAACGCGUAUGGAACCUGCCUCUGUCAGGGGAAUAGCCCAUGGAAACGUGGAUUAAUGCCCCAUGGUAUCCUAGUACUGCAUGGUAUUAGGAUUAAAGAUUUAUCGGACAGAGAUGGCCAUGCGUAUCAUUAGCUAGUUGGUAAGGUAACGGCUUACCAAGGCAACGAUGAUUAGGGGCCCUGAGAGGGGGAUCCCCCACACUGGUACUGAGACACGGACCAGACUCCUACGGGAGGCAGCAGUGAGGAAUAUUGGACAAUGGUGGGAACACUGAUCCAGCCAUGCCGCGUGCAGGAUGACUGCCCUAUGGGUUGUAAACUGCUUUUAUACGGGAAGAAACCCAGGUACGUGUACCUGGCUGACGGUACCGUAAGAAUAAGGACCGGCUAACUCCGUGCCAGCAGCCGCGGUAAUACGGAGGGUCCGAGCGUUAUCCGGAAUCAUUGGGUUUAAAGGGUCCGUAGGCGGGCCUAUAAGUCAGAGGUGAAAGGCCACGGCUCAACCGUGGGACUGCCUUUGAUACUGUAGGUCUUGAGUUACAGUGGGGUUGCCGGAACAUGUGGUGUAGCGGUGAAAUGCAUAGAUAUCACAUAGAACACCAAUCGCGAAGGCAGGUGGCCAACUGUAUACUGACGCUGAUGGACGAAAGCGUGGGGAGCGAACGGGAUUAGAUACCCCGGUAGUCCACGCCGUAAACGAUGGACACUAGCUGU